AAUGUGAAUUGCAGAUUUUCAGUGAAUCAUCGAAUCUUUGAACGCACCUUGCGCUCCUUGGUAUUCCGAGGAGCAUGCCUGUUUGAGUGUCAUUAAAUUCUCAACCAUCCUUUGAUUUAUUUCGAGGGUUGGCUUGGAUCUUGGGAGCUGCCGGCGACUCACUGGGGUCUUGUCGGCUCUCCUUAAAAGUAUUAGCGAAUGGGUGUGACGAGCUUCGUGCAUGAACGGCCUUCGACGUGAUAAUGAUCGUCGUGGCUGGAGUGCUUUUUGAAAGAGGCUUUGAUCAUCUUUUGCUUCCAAUCUUGAUCGUAGAGGGAAAUGGGGAACUCUGCUCCGGCGGACGGAAACUUUCCUUUCACUUUCACUUUUUGACUUUUGACCUCAAAUCAGGUAGGACUACCCGCUGAACUUAAGCAUAUCAAUAAGCGGAGGAAAAGAAACUAACAAGGAUUCCCCUAGUAACUGCGAGUGAAGCGGGAAGAGCUCAAAUUUUGAAUCUGGCGGUCCUUGCGGCCGUCCGAGUUGUAAUCUAGAGAAGUGUUUUCCGCGCUGGACCGUGUACAAGUCUCCUG
rnacentral:sRNA from 1 species